rnacentral:pre_miRNA from 14 species
GUGUAUUAUUUGUGCAUGUGUUGGCCUGCAUGUGUAUAUGAACAUGCAGCUGAAAGACCCCCAGAGUGGGGAGACCCUCAUUCAAGUCUCGGGAUGACGCGACCCCCCAAGAACUCACACAAGACC